GAUGAACGCUGACAGAAUGCUUAACACAUGCCAGUCCACUUGAAUUUGGGUUUUUACCUUAGGUUUGGGUGGCGGACGGGUGAGUAACGCGUAAAGAACUUGCCUCCCAGCUAGGGACAACAUUUGGAAACGAAUGCUAAUACCUAAUAUUAUGAUAAUAGGGCAUCUUAUAAUUAUGAAAGCUAUAAGCGCUGUGAGAGAGCUUUGCGUCCCAUUAGCUAGUUGGAGAGGUAACGGCUCACCAAGGCGAUGAUGGGUAGCCGGCCUGAGAGGGUGAUCGGCCACAAGGGGACUGAGACACGGCCCUUACUCCUACGGGAGGCAGCAGUGGGGAAUAUUGGACAAUGGACCGAGAGUCUGAUCCAGCAAUUCUGUGUGCACGAUGAAGUUUUUCGGAAUGUAAAGUGCUUUCAGUUGGGAAGAAACAAAUGACGGUACCAACAGAAGAAGUGACGGCUAAAUACGU
rnacentral:rRNA from 1 species